rnacentral:lncRNA from 1 species
GCCCGUGUUUUUGAAAAGCUAGAGAGAGCAGCUGGUGUUUUUGCAGCCUGUUCUCCCCCUUCCCUCUCGUAUUUGACCUAGAUGCGACAACUCACUGCGGAAAGAUCAUUCCUGUUCUGUGACAGAAGAAGAAAUGCUGAUGGCCCACAUGAUACUGUGGGUCUCCACGGCGACACUGCAUACAGAGCAGCCCCUGAAGAAUGCUGAAGGGAAGGCCAAGAGCUCUGAAAGAUCCCUGGAAGGGAGCCAAAAGCGCACUGCUUAACCUCUGUCCAACCCGUAUAGUGGCUAUCGCGCUCAGGGUGUGUGAGGAUAACAGAUCGAGGGGUGCCCGGAGGGAGCGGGCACUGAGACCACCCCUAACAAACAGUGAGCUUUGUUGUAUUGUAAAGUGAUGUAAUGUGUUUACAUCACACUUCAAGUAUGUAAAGGGAGUUACUAACGUCUUUCUUCUUCCUAAAAUAGUCAGGUCUUGCUUGUUGUGAUGGCGUACACCUAUAACCACAACACUUGGGAGGCUGAGAGAUUACAGGACACCGAAGAAUGCUAUUCCAGAGGAUGCAGUGGGAAAUAUCCGGAACCUCACAGGAAUGACACAGGGCCAAACCCAGGUUCAGCAAGCACCCUUUGGCCACCUGCUGUGAGCCGAGGCAACCUCCACAGAGAUUCACAGCCAGCGGGUCCCGACA